GACGAACCGUGCGAACGUUGUUCGGAAUCACUGGGCUUAAAGGGCGCGUAGGCGGUCAAUCAAGUCUGGGGUGAAAUCUUUCGGCUUAACCGGAAAAGUGCCUUGGAUACUGAUUGACUCGAGGGAGGUAGGGCAGCUGGAACUUCCGGUGGAGCGGUGAAAUGCGUUGAUAUCGGAAGGAACGCCGGUGGCGAAAGCGAGCUGCUGGACCUUUUCUAACGCUGAUGCGCGAAAGCUAGGGGAGCAAACGGGAUUAGAUACCCGGGUAGU
rnacentral:rRNA from 1 species